rnacentral:rRNA from 1 species
UAACGGUUCACCAGGGCGACCAUCGGUAGCUGGUCUGAGAGGACCAUCAGCCACACUGGGAAUGAAAACGGCCCAUACUCCUACGGGGGGCAGCAGUGAGGAAUUUUCGUCAAUGGGGGCAACCCUGAACCAGCAACGCCUCGUGCAGGAAGAAGGUUUUCGGAUCGUAAACUGCUUUUCUCGGGGAAAAGAAGGGACGGUACCCGAGGAAUCAGCCCCUGCUAACUACCUGCCAGCCGCCGCGGUAAUACGUAGGGGGCAAGCGUUGUCCGGAGUUACUGGGCGUAAAGCGCACGCAGGCGGUUCUUUCAGUUCAAAGUGACAGUCAUCGGCUUCACUGACGAACGACUAGGACGACGGAACAACUUGACGGCUUCAGAGGGACACGGAAUUCCUGGUGGAGUGGUGAAAUG